rnacentral:rRNA from 1 species
CGCGCAGGCGGUCGUACAAGUCGCGUGUGAAAGCCCCCGGCUCAACUGGGGAGGGUCACGCGAUACUGUUCGACUCGAAGGCAGGAGAGGGAAGUGGAAUUCCCGGUGUAGUGGUGAAAUGCGUAGAUAUCGGGAGGAACACCAGUGGCGAAGGCGACUACCUGGCCUGUUCUUGACGCUGAGGCGCGAAAGCUAGGGGAGCAAACGG